rnacentral:rRNA from 1 species
AUUGAACGCUGGCGGCAUGCCUUACACAUGCAAGUCGAACGGCAGCAUGAUCUAGCUUGCUAGAUUGAUGGCGAGUGGCGAACGGGUGAGUAAUACAUCGGAACGUGCCCUGUAGUGGGGGAUAACUAGUCGAAAGAUUAGCUAAUACCGCAUACGACCUGAGGGUGAAAGUGGGGGACCGCAAGGCCUCAUGCUAUAGGAGCGGCCGAUGUCUGAUUAGCUAGUUGGUGAGGUAAAGGCUCACCAAGGCGACGAUCAGUAGCUGGUCUGAGAGGACGAUCAGCCACACUGGGACUGAGACACGGCCCAGACUCCUACGGGAGGCAGCAGUGGGGAAUUUUGGACAAUGGGCGAAAGCCUGAUCCAGCAAUGCCGCGUGUGUGAAGAAGGCCUUCGGGUUGUAAAGCACUUUUGUCCGGAAAGAAAUGGCUCUGGUUAAUACCUGGGGUCGAUGACGGUACCGGAAGAAUCAGGACCGGCUAACUACGUG